rnacentral:rRNA from 1 species
CGAACAGAUAAGGAGCUUGCUCCUUUGACGUUAGCGGCGGACGGGUGAGUAACACGUGGGUAACCUACCUAUAAGACUGGAAUAACUCCGGGAAACCGGGGCUAAUGCCGGAUAACAUUUAGAACCGCAUGGUUCUAAAGUGAAAGAUGGUUUUGCUAUCACUUAUAGAUGGACCCGCGCCGUAUUAGCUAGUUGGUAAGGUAACGGCUUACCAAGGCAACGAUACGUAGCCGACCUGAGAGGGUGAUCGGCCACACUGGAACUGAGACACGGUCCAGACUCCUACGGGAGGCAGCAGUAGGGAAUCUUCCGCAAUGGGCGAAAGCCUGACGGAGCAACGCCGCGUGAGUGAUGAAGGUCUUCGGAUCGUAAAACUCUGUUAUUAGGGAAGAACAAAUGUGUAAGUAACUAUGCACGUCUUGACGGUACCUAAUCAGAAAGCCACGGCUAACUACGUGCCAGCAGCCGCGGUAAUACGUAGGUGGCAAGCGUUAUCCGGAAUUAUUGGGCGUAAAGCGCGCGUAGGCGGUUUCUUAAGUCUGAUGUGAAAGCCCACGGCUCAACCGUGGAGGGUCAUUGGAAACUGGGAAACUUGAGUGCAGAAGAGGAAAGUGGAAUUCCAUGUGUAGCGGUGAAAUGCGCAGAGAUAUGGAGGAACACCAGUGGCGAAGGCGACUUUCUGGUCUGUAACUGACGCUGAUGUGCGAAAGCGUGGGGAUCAAACAGGAUUAGAUACCCUGGUAGUCCACGCCGUAAACGAUGAGUGCUAAGUGUU